UACAGGGGGUGCAAACGUUGCUCGGAAUCAUUGGGCGUAAAGCGCACGUAGGCGGUUCGUUAUGUCGGAUGUGAAAGCCCUUGGCUUAACCGAGGAAGUGCAUCCGAAACUGGCGAGCUAGAGUACGAAAGAGGAUCGCGGAAUUCCCGGUGUAGAGGUGAAAUUCGUAGAUAUCGGGAGGAACACCAAAGGCGAAGGCAGUGUCCUGGGGAGUACCUGACGCUCAGGUGCGAAAGCCAGGGGAGCGAACGGG
rnacentral:rRNA from 1 species